GAUGAAGAACGUAGCGAAAUGCGAUAAGUAAUGUGAAUUACAGAUUUCAGUGAAUCAUCGAAUCUUUGAACGCACCUUGCGCCUUGUGGUAUUCCACAAGGCAUGCCCGUUUGAGUAUCAUUAAAUCAUCAACUCUAAAACCUUUGUGGUUUUUUUAGAGCUUGGUCUUGAGGGUUUUGCAGGCUUUUUUUUUUUUCGAGUCUGCUCCCUUUAAAUGCAUUAGCGAGACUUCCCUAUGCUGAACCGUCUCUUUGACGUGAUAAUUAUCUGCGUCGAAUUUUGGUUCUCGUUGGGCUUGCUUCUAAUCGUCUGUUAAAGACAAAACGGAUUUGGGUGCAUAUAUGCGCCUUUUUCCAAAACCUUUUUUGAUCUCAAAUCGGGUAGGACUACCCGCUGAACUUAAGCAUAUCAAUAAGCGGAGGA
rnacentral:misc_RNA from 1 species